CGUCCUACGGGAGGCAGCAGUGGGGGAUAUUGCACAAUGGGGGGAACCCUGAUGCAGCGACGCCGCGUGAGUGAAGAAGUAAUUCGUUAUGUAAAGCUCUAUCAGCAGGGAAGAAUAAAUGACGGUACCUGAGUAAGAAGCCCCGGCUAACUACGUGCCAGCAGCCGCGGUAAUACGUAGUGGGCAAGCGUUAUCCGGAUUUACUGGGUGUAAAGGGAGCGCAGACGGCAGUGCAAGUCUGGAGUGAAAGCCCGGGGCCCAACCCCGGAACUGCUCUGGAAACUGUGCGGCUAGAGUACUGGAGG
rnacentral:rRNA from 1 species